rnacentral:rRNA from 1 species
GGACGAACGCUGGCGGCGUGCUUAACCCAUGCAAGUCGAACGGAAAGGCCCUGCUUUUGUGGGGUGCUCGAGUGGCGAACGGGUGAGUAACACGUGAGUAACCUGCCCUUGACUUUGGGAUAACUUCAGGAAACUGGGGCUAAUACCGGAUAGGAGCUCCUGCUGCAUGGUGGGGGUUGGAAAGUUUCGGCGUUUGGGGAUGGACUCGCGGCUUAUCAGCUUGUUGGUGGGGUAGUGGCUUACCAAGGCUUUGACGGGUAGCCGGCCUGAGAGGGUGACCGGCCACAUUGGGACUGAGAUACGGCCCAGACUCCUACGGGAGGCAGCAGUGGGGAAUAUUGCACAAUGGGCGGAAGCCUGAUGCAGCAACGCCGCGUGCGGGAUGACGGCCUUCGGGUUGUAAACCGCUUUCGCCUGUGACGAAGCGUGAGUGACGGUAAUGGGUAAAGAAGCACCGGCUAACUACGUG